GCGCCUAAACGGGCUGACGUUUUUCUCACCGUCGCCAUUUUCUUUGACCCGCGAAUCGCGAUGCGGAGCAAACAAGGACGGAAAAUACAGAGAUUAAGUGUUUUAUGUUAUUCACACAGUAUUAAUUUUAUAACAUCAUAUUGUUUUAGAACGAUAUUUCUGUGCGGCUCGCGGUGCGGAGCUGACGAGGAGGUUGCUUUUUAACAGGAAAACACCAAAAAGAGACAUUUGCUUUGAUUCACGAUGCGGAGCAGGCAGAGGUUACUAUUAUCAACAAGAGACCUAAAAUGGUUCAUGCUGGAAUAACUGGAAAAUCAAAAGGAAUCAAUUUGUUUGAGUAUAAAAUCAUCAGUACGUUGUCAAGUUGGAUGAAAAGAGCUCUUGUUAACAUUUUUAGGACACAUACAACAGACAUGGUCCCCUGAAGGAGAAGUUCAGGUGCAUGAUUUAUGACUGAAGAUGGCAGACUGAAAAAAGCAGGUUGGAGACGAAGUCCCGAGCCUCAGCAGACACAUGCUCAAACGCAUCCUCAUCAAAGUACCUGCAAACAUCCAACAGGGGGCGUUGCUUUACAACAGAUUUCACUUUAAACCGUUCUUUAGAGCUGUUUGUAGACUUUAUGAUUUUUAAAUAGAUGUUUCAACGCUUGUUUAUAAUUAGCUCAUGUUCUGUUGAGUAUAGAAUCGAUAUAAUAGCAGCCUACCAGUUGCCCAUAAGCACAU